rnacentral:rRNA from 1 species
GACGAACGCUGGCGGCGUGCUUAACACAUGCAAGUCGAACGGAAAGGCCCUGCUUUUGUGGGGUGCUCGAGUGGCGAACGGGUGAGUAACACGUGAGUAACCUGCCCUUGACUUUGGGAUAACUUCAGGAAACUGGGGCUCAUACCGGAUAUGAGCUCCUGCUGCAUGGUGGGGGUUGGAAAGUUUCGGCGGUUGGGGAUUGACUCGCGGCUUAUCAGCUUGUUGUUGGGGUAGUGGCUUACCAAGGCUUUGACGGGUAGCCGGCCUGAGAGGGUGACCGGCGACAUAGGGACUGAGAUACGGCCGAGACACCUAAGGGAGGCAGAAGUGGGGAAUAUUGAAAAAUGGGCGGAAGCCUGAUGCAGCAACGCCGCGUGCGGGAUGACGGCCUUAGGGUUGUAAACCGCUUGCGCAUGUGACGAAGCGUGAGUGACGGUAAUGGGUAAAGAAGCACCGGCUAACUACGUG